UUUCUCUCUUACUCUAUUUAAUGACCAUAACUUUGCAUUAAGUUACGUUUAAGGUCUGGUACGUAUCCUGCCUAGUUCACAUUCUCAAAAGACAGCAAUCUGUAUUGUUCCUUUGAUUUCAGUGGAGUAUGCCAAUUUAUAUAUCAAUUGUAUAGAGGAAGUAUAAUGAAGGGUAUGUUCAUCCAAAAUCAAAAUUGAAUAACUUUCAAUCUGUCCUUACCCUCUGUCCUCUAGAAUAAACUGGAACUAAUUGCAUUGAUUCAUUUUUUUUUUUCUUUUUCCAGGAUACUGAAAAUGUACAUUACUCUGGGAUAUAUUAUUUGGACUUAGCAUAAAUUUUGCACUGUCUGUUUGUCAUUCUUCCUCAUGCCUGCUGUCGGAAAUGCGUCAGGAGACAAAAGCAAGCCUAAUUGACAGCUCUGGGGAGGCUGAAGGAUCACAUAGUCAUCUAGGUUGGAAGAGACCUUCAAGAUUACCCAAUCCAACCUCUGACCUAAUGCCAACAAGUCCUCCACUAAACCAUAUCACUAAGCUCUACAUCUAAAUGUCUUUUAAAGACCUCCAGCGAUAGCAACUGAACCACUUCCCUGGGCAGCCUAUUCCUAGACAUUUUAAUUCAAAAGUAAGGUUUUCUUUGAAAGUCUUGUGCACAUAAUCACGCUAGAACUCUAUAAAACUCCAGUUGAGACAAUAAGUGAAUCACAAUUAGUGCGUUUUAUUUUCCAAAUGUUAUUUUACCAUAUAUCUGGUACUUGCUACUGUUACACAAACUCCUAGUCUUAAUCAAUGGUUGUUAGUAUACCUGAAAUUCCUGACAAUCAACCAAAAGUAAAAUCUCUAGGCUGAUCCCAGCGAAAUGAAGAUAACUGAAUCAAAGAAGAAAAGUCAGAGUAGUUCAAGUUUUGUCCUUAGAAAUUCCUAUGAGAAAUUAAGUGUAUAUAUUAUUAGGAGAGUCUUUGAAUGAUCAGUAAAAAGGAGUGUUUAUCUGAGAGGAGGAAAGUUCUCAGAUAAUGUAGACAUUAAUGUUGUCUCUAGUUGUGAAUGCCUCAAUUUUUUAUUUAUUUUUUAUUGCAUGAUGGCCAAGAGGCAAUAGUUGCUCUCUGUCACAGGUUUCUGAAGUAUGGGACAUAUGCUUUCAGCAAUGGGGAAAAUUCAUUAUAUAUAUCUAAAAUGUAGCCUCUUCUACCUUCAUCACGUGAGCUUUCACUCUAUGCCUGCAUGUGCUGUCUCUGUUCUACAUUGAUUUUAUACUUAUCAGUCUCAUCAGUGUAGUAUUUGGGAGCCUUCCAGUACCUUUUUUGACAAUGUAACUAACAUCUGUCAUCGUUUCUCCCAGGAAUAGAUUCAUGUUGAGUGUAAUGCUUGGGUUUCUGAUGUAUGCAGAGCUGUAAGUGUAGAAUGCAAACUUGAAGAUGUCUUUUUUAUCCUUUGUGUUCUGUGUUGCUUCUUUUUUUUUUUUUUUUUUUUUUUUUUAACUCUUGUGGUCCCAAGGUUACUUCUAAUAUUUUUGUUUGUAAUUUAUGUCAUUCUGAAAAUUAUAUAUGAAAAAGCUGUACUUGGAAUAUAUAUGUGAGUGUGCAUGUAUUAGUUUAUUAAAAAUAUUGUCUGAAUUUUAUUCUGUGAUUAAAAAUUUGAAAAAUACUAAAUUCACAUGAGAGAACAGAUAAGAAAGAUGAGAUGCAAAAGCUACCCAGACACAUAGAAGAAAAUGAAGAUGUGGUGUCUUCCUGGGUAGAUUUAUGGGCACAGACUCAACAGCUGUGCAAUGUUGAAGAAUAAAGUGGUUAUAGGUGCCAGCUUUGUACAGUAGGUUCAAGACUGCAUGGCUAUACACUUGGGUAUGUUUGAGCCUUCCUAAAUUCUUCAUCUAUAUCUCUAUGACCAGCUAGAAUAUUUUCAGCUGAUACAAAACAGUAACAGUUUUGGCUGCCUUCUUCCUUUUCCAGUUUUUGGUGUGGAAUUCAUUAUGUGACUGUUUUGAGUUUGAAGUGCAGCAAAUGUGAAAGCUAUUGAUCAGAACUUCAAACGAUAAUCAGUGUUCAGUGGUUGCCAAACAUCAGUGUAUGAAUUUAUUUGAUUCCACAUGCUUAACAUUGAAGGAAAUAGUAAAGGAAACAGAGGAUUAAUUGGGCUGAAGGUAUUAAGUCUGAUAAUUAUUGUAGGGUAAAAUGUAAACAUUUGCAACAUCUGUUAAAAGCAAGAGAGAAAAGCCUUCCAGUCACCUUAAUGUGUGGGAUAUCAGUUUCUUCACAUUCUUGGAGAUCGAAAAUGUCAUUGAAUGAAACUUUGCCUACUGAAACAGAAGAGCAGAGCAUUGUUUGAUCUUUCAAGGGAGACGUGUUUGAUGCUGUUGUCAUCAAAUCCCAGCUAUAACGAUUAAAUCUGUGUCCCAGGCCUUUGAAGUUCAAUUCAGUUAAUUCAGUAACAAUGUUUGUUUG
ensembl:lncRNA